UGUGGCGUUAUCUGGCGGGGCUGGUGCGCGGGCGCUGACGGCGCUCGGACAGCGCAACGGGCCACGAACCAGGACGGGUUCGUGGCCCGCGCGGCACGGC
rnacentral:tRNA from 1 species